GAGUGAACGCUGGCGGUAGGCCUAACACAUGCAAGUCGAACGGCAGCACAGUAAGAGCUUGCUCUUACGGGUGGCGAGUGGCGGACGGGUGAGGAAUACAUCGGAAUCUACUUUUUCGUGGGGGAUAACGUAGGGAAACUUACGCUAAUACCGCAUACGACCUACGGGUGAAAGCAGGGGAUCUUCAGACCUUGCGCGAUUGAAUGAGCCGAUGUCGGAUUAGCUAGUUGGCGGGGUAAAGGCCCACCAAGGCGACGAUCCGUAGCUGGUCUGAGAGGAUGAUCAGCCACACUGGAACUGAGACACGGUCCAGACUCCUACGGGAGGCAGCAGUGGGGAAUAUUGGACAAUGGGCGCAAGCCUGAUCCAGCCAUACCGCGUGGGUGAAGAAGGCCUUCGGGUUGUAAAGCCCUUUUGUUGGGAAAGAAAAGCAGCAGGUUAAUACCCCGCUGUUCUGACGGUACCCAAAGAAUAAGCACCGGCUAACUUCGUG
rnacentral:rRNA from 1 species